rnacentral:rRNA from 1 species
ACCAACGAGAAAAUUGCGUCACAUACGGCCAGUGUGUCUCAGUACCUCCGUUUAAGGUGAACCCGCGGAUGGAUCAUUAAAUCAAUUAUGGUUCCUUAGAUCGUACCCACGUUACUUGGAUAACUGUGGUAAUUCUAGAGCUAAUACAUGCACCCAGAGUCCCGACCAGAGAUGGGAGGGACGCUUUUAUUAGAUCAAAACCAAUCGGUCGGCUCGUCCGGUCCGUUUGCCUUGGUGACUCUGAAUAACUUUGGGCUGAUCGCACGGUCUCCGUACCGGCGACGCAUCUUUCAAAUGUCUGCCUUAUCAACUGUCUAUGGUAGGUUCUGCGCCUACCAUGGUUGUAACGGGUAACGGGGAAUCAGGGUUCGAUUCCGGAGAGGGAGCCUGACAAACGGCUACCACAUCCAAGGAAGGCAGCAGGCGCGCAAAUUACCCACUCCCGGCACGGGGAGGUAGUGACGAAAAAUAACGAUACGGGACUCAUCCGAGGCCCCGUAAUCGGAAUGAGUACACUUUAAAUCCUUUAACGAGUAUCUAUUGGAGGGCAAGUCUGGUGCCAGCAGCCGCGGUAAUUCCAGCUCCAAUAGCGUAUAUUAAAGUUGUUGCGGUUAAAAAGCUCGUACUUGGAUUUGUGUCCCACGCUGUUGGUUCACCGCCCCGUCGGUGUUUAACUGGCAUGUAUCGUGGGACGUCCUGCCGGUGG